CAUGGUGUGGAGCAGAUGGUAGCUCGCCACGCUCAUAACGUGGAGGUCGUAGGUUCGAGUCCUACCACCGUAA
rnacentral:tRNA from 1 species